rnacentral:lncRNA from 1 species
UAUAUGUCACGCCCCGGGAUCCCUUUUUAGUUUAAAGUAUAACGGAAAAACGUCUGAAAUUUUUUUUUUGAAAACCUGACCCCAUGGUAUGCCAGAUCUGUCACAAAUAGAGGAGAUCCACUAUUCACACGGACGGAGUCUCCCCUGUAUUUACACGGCGUCGCACAAGUACAAGAUUUCAAACAUGAUACAACCACAACUAGAUGAACAUACACAUAACCAACAGUUAUACAUUCAUACACCAUUCACCACAGUUUCACAUUUAUACAUUCGAUAUUUAAACAUAAAUC